rnacentral:rRNA from 1 species
AUUGAACGCUGGCGGAAUGCUUUACACAUGCAAGUCGAGCGGCAGCGCGGUCUUCGGACUGGCGGCGAGCGGCGAACGGGUGAGUAAUACAUCGGAACAUGCCCAGUCGUGGGGGAUAACACUUCGAAAGAAGUGCUAAUACCGCAUACGUCCUGAGGGAGAAAGCGGGGGAUCGCAAGACCUCGCGCGAUUGGAGUGGCCGAUGUCAGAUUAGCUAGUUGGUGGUGUAAAGGCCUACCAAGGCAACGAUCUGUAGCUGGUCUGAGAGGAUGAUCAGCCACACUGGGACUGAGACACGGCCCAGACUCCUACGGGAGGCAGCAGUGGGGAAUUUUGGACAAUGGGGGCGACCCUGAUCCAGCCAUUCCGCGUGAGUGAAGAAGGCCUUCGGGUUGUAAAGCUCUUUCGGCAGGAACGAAACGGCGAGCUCUAACAUAGCUUGCUAAUGACGGUACCUGAAGAAGAAGCACCGGCUAACUACGUGCCAGCCGCCGCUGUAACAC